rnacentral:tRNA from 1 species
GGGAUAUAGCUCCUUUGGUAGAGCACUUGCCUAGCAUGCAUAAGGCCCUGGGUUAGAUCCCCAGCACCCA